UUUCUCCAAUAACAUUGCCUCUUAAGUCAACUAAUCUAUUUAUUUUCCUUUUUCUUUGACAUGCUUUCUCUCUGUUUUCUUGUUAUUUUUUUAAUUUCAUGUAAUGUUUUUAUUUAUCCAUCAAAUUUAAUUACACCAGUGGUAGAUAGUAGAACAUAAAUUAGGCCUUCAAUUGCAAACCCCAGAUUUGUUUUGCAGUUUUUCCAGAAAUAGCGUAUCUAGGGGUAAUGGAUGCAUACCCUCUCCAAACUCAACUUUGUGGAACUACAUUGAAUGUGUUGUUGUAGUGGAACUACAUCGGGUAUGUUGUAAAAACACAAAAUUUUUUGAUUGUCUCAAGGGGAUUCAACAGUACUAUGCCUAUAAAAAAUAAUUUUGGCUUUGUAUACAUGUUAUGGUGCAAUUUUUCGGGGAGGGUGUUUCCGAUGAGCCCGUUUGAGUCCCAUUAGUUCUGCCCCUGACUGGUAGUAUGGUAAGAGAGGUCUUUUGUGUUUAAUAAUAGCAUGUCUAGGUUAGCAUCUGCAGGAACCUCAACUUAUCAACUUUAUACUGGUGAUCGAUCCUGUCAAUUAAGGCUUAGGUAGAUGAAACGAAUUGAUCUGGUCCCUGCGGUUGACAUUUCAUCUGGUCCCUGAGGUUGUUAUUUCAAACUCUUGGACUAUUAGUCUAUACGUCCCUCUUUCUUCCUAUAUCGUCAGUUCUUUUGAAAUAGUGUUCUUUUUUCUUCUCCCUGAAAGGAUUCCAAAGAGAAAAGUUUAAAAACAUUGGACGUAAGUGAUAGGAGAUGCUUGUAAGUAUGCAGUUGUUACAGGAUCAAACAAGGGAAUUGGCUUCGAGGUUGUUAAGCAGCUCACCAAUUCAGAUGUAACAGUUCUCUUAACAGCCAGAGACGAAAAGAGAGGAGCUGAAGCAACAUCCUUGCUGAAUGAACGAAGAUUUUCUAAUGUUGUGUUUCAUCAGCUUAAUGUUCAAGAUGCUCAGAGCAUUGAGUCCUUGGCAAAGUUCGUACAAACAUAAUAUGGAAGGCUUGAUAUUCUGGUAAAUAGUGCUGGAGUUUCUGGAGUGGUACCUGAUGAAGAUGUCCUAAGGGCCAUGAACAUGGAUCUUGUAAACUGGUUACCAGGGAAACUUUCGAUGACAUUAGAGCUGUGAUGAAAACAACAUACGACAGUGCCAAAUUAUGCUUGGACACUAAUUACUAAGGUGUUAUGAUUUUUACUGAAGCUCUUCUUCCACUGCUGCAAAAUUCCCCUUCACCAAGGAUUGUUAAUGUCUCGUCCCGUAGAGAUGCUUUAAAUGUAAGUAAGACUGUCAUUUGUGUUGUUUCUGAACAUUUUAUAGUUCUUGUUGAUUUUUGUUGUCACCUAGCUAAUGCCAAAUGAGGAGAUGAGAAAGGAGCUCGGAGAUAUUGAAAACCUGACAGAAGAAAAAAUCGAUGGGAUUCUGCAGAAUUUUUUUGCAUGAUCUGAAACAAGAUGCUCUUGCAGUGAACGGUUGGCAGAUGAUUGGACCAGUCUAUUGCAUAUCAAAACUAUUGCUUAAUGCUUACACCAGAGUUGUUGCAAGAAAGUACCUGAAAAUGUGCAUCAAAUGGAGGACCUACUAAUUGCUACUUUGAUCGUACAAUAGUCUCUGAGUUUUAGAUAGAACAACUACAACUACACAUGCCCCAGUUGCAAACAAGUUGGUUAGGUUUAGUGAAAUAAGACUUUCUUUUAGCAUCUCUUGUUAUUUGGUCUAAUUUCUGAGCUUGGUUGGUGUCCAGACGUUGAAAUAAUGAGGGAAGGAAAGGAAAAAUUGAUCCUUCCUCCCUACCCAAACCCCAUUUGUGAGAUUACACUGGCUACGUGGUUUUUUUUCCUGCUUC